UGAUGGUAGCAUGACGUAGGAGGAAACGGGGUAUUAUUUGGUAUUCCGACCGAUUGGAUGUAUGCGCGCAACGUUGUCUUCAUUAGCGCAAUAACCACAUCCAUUGGAUACAGCUUGAAUUAGUUUGUAUCUUCUUGAAAUUGGUUGCUGAUUGUUCUUUACGCUUAAUAUUUCACGGCCUACGACCAACACCUGUUCAAAUCACCAAGUUUCAUGAUGGUUGUCCCAUCACUCAUGGUAAAAAAUAUGAUAUGAUAGUAGGUAAUAAGAAAAAAGUGUCUUUACGACGACUUUAAGGUUCCUGAGGUUAAUAUGGUUAUUAUGUGAUUGUAUUAUGUGGUGUUAAUAUGAUCACAAAAAUAACAACAGGUGGGGUUGAUUAGAUACUAUUCUUCGCAUGACAGUGGUCAGCCUGGUAAAAAUAGAGCAUUCAUUCCGGAAUUAUUGGACCGGUCCAAUACCACUUCCUUUGUUUUUGUAUCAUCAUCAUCAUCAUCAUCAUCUCAGCCAUAAGACGUCUACUGCUGGACAUAGGCCUCCCCCUUGGACCUCCGCUCGUAGGUACCGGUUGGAAGCGAUCCGCAUCCAGCGUCUUCCGGCGGCCUUAACAAGGUCGUCCGUCCAUCUUGUGGGUGGACGUCCUACGCUGCGUUUGCUAGUCCGUGGUCUCCACUCGAGCACUUUUCGACCCCAUCGGCCUUCUUCUCUGCGCGCAAUGUGGCCUGCCCAUUGCCACUUCAGCUUGCUAAUCCGGUGGGCUAUGUCGGUGACUUAAGUUCGUCUACGGAUCUCCUCAUUUCUGAUUCGAUCACGCAGAGAAACUCCGAGCAUAGCCCUCUCCAUAGCUCGUUGAGCGACUUUGAAUUUUGAGAUGAGGCCGAUAGUGAAAGACCACGUUUCGGAGCCGUAAGUCAUCACUGGUAACACACAUUGGUCUUGUUAAUUAAGACUAAGGAACCAAAUUUUGAAUACAUUAUUUGCAAGUAGCAAAGUUUCUUGCACGUAAGUACCUAUAUAAUAAUUAUCUUAUCAUGCACUAUUUUUGUACAAUCCAAAGUAUUGAGCAGUAUAAUAGUCUGGUAUUUUAAGGGAUUUAAGAUAAUGUAACCAAACAUAACUCCACACGGAUACAUAGAUAAUCUUAAUACGAUUGAAUGACCAAAUCAAGUGGUUUUAACUGUUUACAUUCUCUUACGUAUGUGCAUAAAAUAACAGACUAUUUUAGAUUAAAUCUAAAUUGUGAAUUGGUGCGUAUCACACCGUACUUCGCUAAUAUGUGACGUUCCACGGUAAAGGUACCUUAUGGAGGUUGGCGCUUACGCUAUUAUUGACGUCGCUCCAAUAUUAUUACGGCGCUAAGCGACGUAAGCGCCAGCCGCCAUAAGGUACCUUUUAACGUGGAACGUCACAUAUUUCUAUAGAUGUCCGGCACAGAACCAAAGGUUAGUCUUUGGUUCACAGAAAGGAAACUUCCUACAAAACCGAAGUUUGACAGCGGUUCAUGGUCGAAUCAUGCUGUCCCUUUCUAAUAUAUGGGAGUAUCCCUUUUGGAUAUUCAAGCCAUUAUCUUAUUUGGGGUCGUGCACGCAAAGGGACGUCAUGCUGUGUCAACCCGAAUAAUUGCUUGGAGCAAUGUUGAGCCGAACGUAGCUGAGUUUGCCCGAAGGGAGAAGUGUCGCACUUCUGACAGAACUUCGCUUUCGCUGUCAUUUCGUGCCGUUUUAGUUGUCAGAUUUUUGUUGCAACCUCAUUGCGUCCUCAUUAAUGGUAAGUUCAAAAAUAUUAGUUUCUUUUCCUUUCAUAAAUUGCUCGCCUGACAUCAUAGUUGACUAUUAUUAGGUAUGGAAAGACCUACAUGCCUGCUUGUCAUACUAUUGGGAGUAGUUGCGACAUCUAGUUGAAUGGUGUGGUAGGUACCUAAAUUUACUACGAAAUGAGUCGGUGUAAGUAAAACUCUUUAUAUCCUAGUCAUAAAGAUUAAUAAUUUAAUUAAGUUCAACUAUAAGGUUUGUAACAUUUACAUAUUUUAUUUCAUUAGCCCUAAAUCAUUGUCUUCGUUAAAUAUUUUAAAAUGUUCACUGAUUUUGUAUAAUUAUCUUAUUAUAAGUAAAUUUUAUAGUAUGUAGUAGGUAUACAAUAUUGGGUGUCAGAUUUUCAUUCCAUUUUCAUAUAUGUAGCUAUUUCUGUAGUUAUAGAUGUAACAAAAGUUAUAGAAGUUGUUGUGGGUAACUUCUAUUUAUAGAAAUAAACAGAACAAUUAAUUAAAGGGUAACCGUAAUUCUCAUUAUUGUAUUUGCAUGUACCUAAAUGAACGAUAUCAAUAUAACUAAAUGUAUACACUACCGAUUUAUGACAAAUUUACAAUUUAUGUUUAACUUAUUUACAUUUUACAUUCUGUAAUGGUCAUAAGAAAUAAAAUAAUAGAAAAAAAUUAUCCAG